AGUGAACGCUGGCGGUAGGCCUAACACAUGCAAGUCGAACGGCAGCACAGUAAGAGCUUGCUCUUACGGGUGGCGAGUGGCGGACGGGUGAGGAAUACAUCGGAAUCUACUUUUUCGUGGGGGAUAACGUAGGGAAACUUACGCUAAUACCGCAUACGACCUACGGGUGAAGGCAGGGGAUCUUCGGACCUUGCGCGAUUGAAUGAGCCGAUGUCGGAUUAGCUAGUUGGCGGGGUAAAGGCCCACCAAGGCGACGAUCCGUAGCUGGUCUGAGAGGAUGAUCAGCCACACUGGAACUGAAACACGGUCCAGACUCCUACGGGAGGCAGCAGUGGGGAAUAUUGGACAAUGGGCGCAAGCCUGAUCCAGCCAUACCGCGUGGGUGAAGAAGGCCUUCGGGUUGUAAAGCCCUUUUGUUGGGAAAGAAAAGCAGCAGGUUAAUACCCCGCUGUUCUGACGGUACCCAAAGAAUAAGCACCGGCUAACUUCGUG
rnacentral:rRNA from 1 species